rnacentral:rRNA from 1 species
AGUCGAGCGGGGAGAUGUAGCUUGCUACAUUUCCUAGCGGCGGACGGGUGAGUAAUGCUUAGGAAUCUGCCUAUUAGUGGGGGACAACAUUCCGAAAGGAAUGCUAAUACCGCAUACGCCCUACGGGGGAAAGCAGGGGAUCUUCGGACCUUGCGCUAAUAGAUGAGCCUAAGUCAGAUUAGCUAGUUGGUGGGGUAAAGGCCUACCAAGGCGACGAUCUGUAGCGGGUCUGAGAGGAUGAUCCGCCACACUGGGACUGAGACACGGCCCAGACUCCUACGGGAGGCAGCAGUGGGGAAUAUUGGACAAUGGGCGAAAGCCUGAUCCAGCCAUGCCGCGUGUGUGAAGAAGGCCUUUUGGUUGUAAAGCACUUUAAGCGAGGAGGAGGCUACUUAGAUUAAUACUCUAGGAUAGUGGACGUUACUCGCAGAAUAAGCACCGGCUAACUCUGUGCCAGCAGCCGCGGUAAUACAGAGGGUGCGAGCGUUAAUCGGAUUUACUGGGCGUAAAGCGUGCGUAGGCGGCUUUUUAAGUCGGAUGUGAAAUCCCUGAGCUUAACUUAGGAAUUGCAUUCGAUACUGGGAAGCUAGAGUAUGGGAGAGGAUGGUAGAAUUCCAGGUGUAGCGGUGAAAUGCGUAGAGAUCUGGAGGAAUACCGAUGGCGAACGCAGCCAUCUGGCCUAAUACUGACGCUGAUGUACGAAAGCAUGGGGAGCAAACAGGAUUAGAUACCCUGGUAGUCCAUGCCGUAAACGAUGUCUACUAGCCGUUGGGGCCUUUGAGGCUUUAGUGGCGCAGCUAACGCGAUAAGUAGACCGCCUGGGGAGUACGUCGCAAGACUAAAACUCAAUGAAUUUGACGGGGCCC